rnacentral:rRNA from 1 species
UACGUAGGGUGCAAGCGUUGUCCGGAAUUAUUGGGCGUAAAGAGCUCGUAGGCGGUCUGUUGCGUCGGCUGUGAAAUCCCGGGGCUCAACCCCGGGCCUGCAGUGGAUACGGGCUGGCUAGAGGCAGGCAGGGGAGAACGGAAUUCCUGGUGUAGCGGUGAAAUGCGCAGAUAUCAGGAGGAACACCGGUGGCGAAGGCGGUUCUCUGGGCCUGUACUGACGCUGAGGAGCGAAAGCGUGGGGAGCGAACAGG